GAUGAACGCUAGCGGCGGGCCUAAUACAUGCAAGUCGAACGGGAAAGGUGGCAACACCUUGAGAGUGGCGUACGGGUGCGUAACGCGUAUACAACCUGCCUGUUACACGGGGAUAGCCUUGCGAAAGCGAGAUUAAUACCCGAUGGUACUAUUGAGCGGCAUCGCUUGGUAGUUAAAGCUGAGGCGGUAACAGAGGGGUAUGCGUCCCAUUAGCUAGUUGGUAGUGUAACGGACUACCAAGGCGACGAUGGGUAGGGGUUCUGAGAGGAUGAUCCCCCACACUGGUACUGAGAUACGGACCAGACUACUACGGGAGGCAGCAGUAGGGAAUAUUGGGCGAUGGACGGAAGUCUGACCCAGCCACGCCGCGUGCAGGAAGAAGGUCCUCUGGAUUGUAAACUGCGUUUCUAGGGGAAGAAAACCCUUCUGCGGAAGGAAUUGACGGUACUCAAGGAAUAAGCAUCGGCUAACUCCGUG
rnacentral:rRNA from 1 species